rnacentral:rRNA from 1 species
GAUGAACGCUGGCGGCGUGCCUAAUACAUGCAAGUCGAGCGAACGGACGAGAAGCUUGCUUCUCUGAUGUUAGCGGCGGACGGGUGAGUAACACGUGGAUAACCUACCUAUAAGACUGGGAUAACUUCGGGAAACCGGAGCUAAUACCGGAUAAUAUUUUGAACCGCAUGGUUCAAAAGUGAAAGACGGUCUUGCUGUCACUUAUAGAUGGAUCCGCGCUGCAUUAGCUAGUUGGUAAGGUAACGGCUUACCAAGGCAACGAUGCAUAGCCGACCUGAGAGGGUGAUCGGCCACACUGGAACUGAGACACGGUCCAGACUCCUACGGGAGGCAGCAGUAGGGAAUCUUCCGCAAUGGGCGAAAGCCUGACGGAGCAACGCCGCGUGAGUGAUGAAGGUCUUCGGAUCGUAAAACUCUGUUAUUAGGGAAGAACAUAUGUGUAAGUAACUGUGCACAUCUUGACGGUACCUAAUCAGAAAGCCACGGCUAACUACGUGCCAGCAGCCGCGGUAAUACGUAGGUGGCAAGCGUUAUCCGGAAUUAUUGGGCGUAAAGCGCGCGUAGGCGGUUUUUUAGUCUGAUGUGAAAGCCCACGGCUCAACCGUGGAGGGUCAUUGGAAACUGGAAAACUUGAGUGCAGAAGAGGAAAGUGGAAUUCCAUGUGUAGCGGUGAAAUGCGCAGAGAUAUGGAGGAACACCAGUGGCGAAGGCGACUUUCUGGUCUGUAACUGACGCUGAUGUGCGAAAGCGUGGGGAUCAAACAGGAUUAGAUACCCUGGUAGUCCACGCCGUAAACGAUGAGUGCUAAGUGUUAGGGGGUUUCCGCCCCUUAGUGCUGCAGCUAACGCAUUAAGCACUCCGCCUGAGGAGUACGACCGCAAGGUUGAAACUCAAAGGAAUUGACGGGGACCCGCACAAGCGGUGGAGCAUGUGGUUUAAUUCGAAGCAACGCGAAGAACCUUACCAAAUCUUGACAUCCUUUGACAACUCUAGAGAUAGAGCCUUCCCCUUCGGGGGACAAAGUGACAGGUGGUGCAUGGUUGUCGUCAGCUCGUGUCGUGAAAUGUUGGGUUAAGUCCCGCAACGAGCGCAACCCUUAAGCUUAGUUGCCAUCAUUAAGUUGGGCACUCUAAGUUGACUGCCGGUGACAAACCGGAGGAAGGUGGGGAUGACGUCAAAUCAUCAUGCCCCUUAUGAUUUGGGCUACACACGUGCUACAAUGGACAAUACAAAGGGCAGCGAGACCGCGAGGUCAAGCAAAUCCCAUAAAGUUGUUCUCAGUUCGGAUUGUAGUCUGCAACUCGACUACAUGAAGCUGGAAUCGCUAGUAAUCGUAGAUCAGCAUGCUACGGUGAAUACGUUCCCGGGUCU